rnacentral:rRNA from 1 species
GUGAGGAAUUUUCCGCAAUGGGCGAAAGCCUGACGGAGCAAUGCCGCGUGAAGGAUGAAGGCCUAUGGGUUGUAAACUUCUUUUCUUAGAGAAGAAUAUUGACGGUAUCUGAGGAAUAAGCAUCGGCUAACUCUGUGCCAGCAGCCGCGGUAAGACAGAGGAUGCAAGCGUUAUCCGGAAUGAUUGGGCGUAAAGCGUCUGUAGGUGGCUUCAAAAGUCUCCUGUCAAAGAUCAGGGCUUAACCCUGGGCCGGCAGGAGAAACUCUGAGGCUAGAGUUUGGUAGCGGCAGAGGGAAUUCACGGAGCGGUGAAAUGCGUAGAGAUCGGGAGGAACACCAAAGGCGAAAGCACUCUGCUGGGCCACAACUGACACUGAGAGACGAAAGCGAGGGGAGCAAAAGGGAUUAGAUACCCUUGUAGUCC